ensembl:lncRNA
GGAAUGGCAGUGAUGUCUCAGCUCUGCUCUGGGAACCUACAAAGCAAAGGAAGCCUGGGAUGACAGAACAGAUACAACAGCUGCCUUACUGAGGUGACCCAGAUCUAUCCUAAAUCUUGAAAGGUCUUGACUACAGCUGACUACAGCGAGGAGAUGAAGAUUAUAUGCUUGUCACAGACUUGGCAGAUGACUCUUUCACCUACACUGAUUUCCACCACUUGGCAGCUCAUAGUCUCUGGAGAAAUGUGGCCACAGCUGGAAACAGAAUGAUGAGCUACAGAAACCUUUGCAAUGCCACGCAGCACUGUUCCUGUGUGACCCUUUCCACCUGCUGCAGGGAGCACACGUACUAUGGCCCUGGAUUCAACCCCAGGUUUCAGGCAGUGAAAAUCUACACUUUGUGGCAUCUCACUUUUAAUCAUUUAUUUGACUCGACCUUUGUGCAGUCAUGUCUGCAGGGAGAAAGAGAUGAAAUAACCUAUAAUACACUGGAGAUAGAGAUAGCUGUCACUCAGUUCCCAUUUCAGAAAAGGAUUUAUCACCUCUUGCUGCUAACAGCUCCAUCGCCUUGCCCACUGUCCUAUUGUGUGUUUUAUCAAGCUACACCGGCCAAAGUUCUCCACUACAGUUAUCAUCAGUCAGACCUGGAACAGGAUCUGUCUAGCUGCAAUGUGUUUGCCAUUACGUUGCAGUAUCCAGGUUCUGGGUUGUAGUUUUUUGUUUCUUUCACCAGAGGCAUUAUAAUAUGAAUUACAAAGAAAGAUGCUCAAAGAGUUUUACAAGAACCAAAAAUCAGUAUGAAACACCUCUCUGACCUUCUCUCCACACUGAACUGGAGCUACACUUGAACUGUUUGGUCAUGUUUUUUUUUUUUCUUUUUUGAUGGAGAGCGAUGGAUUGAGGAGUUGAUAUCUUUAUUGAUCCUGAGCCAGAACUGAGCUGAGAAAGGAAUGAUUUUCUGGUUUCUCUUUCAGCACAAUGGACUGAUUUAAAAUUGCCAUUUUCUAGUAGAAAGUUCAACCUGCAGACUGCCUGUCCUCGCUGGGAUCUGGAAAGCAGUGUAGCACUGCAGCCUCUCCCUCUCCUCAUUUAAAUGUUUGAUGCAAAGCUUUGCCUUUGCAAGAGAGCACACCCUGUUCUGCUCCACAGAACCCAAGAGGGGACCUGUUCAGUAUGGGAACUUAUGAUACCUUCAUAAAUAAAGCUUUGAGACAGGGAUGGCUCUACCCUUGC